rnacentral:rRNA from 1 species
UACGUAGGGGGCGAGCGUUGUCCGGAUUUAUUGGGCGUAAAGCGCGUGUAGGCGGCUUGGUAGGUCUGCUGUGAAAACUCGGGGCUCAACCCCGAGACGUCGGUGGAAACCACCUGGCUAGAGUCCGGAAGAGGAGAGUGGAAUUCCUGGUGUAGCGGUGAAAUGCGCAGAUAUCAGGAAGAACACCCGUGGCUAAGGCGGCUCUCUAGUACGGUACUGACGCUGAGACGCGAAAGCGUGGGGAGCGAACAGG